ACACUAUCAUUAACUGAAUCCAUAGGUUAAUGAGGCGAACCGGGGGAACUGAAACAUCUAAGUACCCCGAGGAAAAGAAAUCAACCGAGAUUCCCCCAGUAGCGGCGAGCGAACGGGGAGGAGCCCAGAGCCUGAAUCAGUGUGUGUGUUAGUGGAAGCGUCUGGAAAGGCGCGCGAUACAGGGUGACAGCCCCGUACACAAAAAUGCACAUACUGUGAGCUCGAUGAGUAGGGCGGGACACGUGGUAUCCUGUCUGAAUAUGGGGGGACCAUCCUCCAAGGCUAAAUACUCCUGACUGACCGAUAGUGAACCAGUACCGUGAGGGAAAGGCGAAAAGAACCCCGGCGAGGGGAGUGAAAAAGAACCUGAAACCGUGUACGUACAAGCAGUGGGAGCCUCUUUAUGGGGUGACUGCGUACCUUUUGUAUAAUGGGUCAGCGACUUAUAUUCUGUAGCAAGGUUAACCGAAUAGGGGAGCCGAAGGGAAACCGAGUCUUAACUGGGCGUUAAGUUGCAGGGUAUAGACCCGAAACCCGGUGAUCUAGCCAUGGGCAGGUUGAAGGUUGGGUAACACUAACUGGAGGACCGAACCGACUAAUGUUGAAAAAUUAGCGGAUGACUUGUGGCUGGGGGUGAAAGGCCAAUCAAACCGGGAGAUAGCUGGUUCUCCCCGAAAGCUAUUUAGGUAGCGCCUCGUGAAUUCAUCUCCGGGGGUAGAGCACUGUUUCGGCAAGGGGGUCAUCCCGACUUACCAACCCGAUGCAAACUGCGAAUACCGGAGAAUGUUAUCACGGGAGACACACGGCGGGUGCUAACGUCCGUCGUGAAGAGGGAAACAACCCAGACCGCCAGCUAAGGUCCCAAAGUCAUGGUUAAGUGGGAAACGAUGUGGGAAGGCCCAGACAGCCAGGAUGUUGGCUUAGAAGCAGCCAUCAUUUAAAGAAAGCGUAAUAGCUCACUGGUCGAGUCGGCCUGCGCGGAAGAUGUAACGGGGCUAAACCAUGCACCGAAGCUGCGGCAGCGACGCUUAUGCGUUGUUGGGUAGGGGAGCGUUCUGUAAGCCUGUGAAGGUGUACUGUGAGGUAUGCUGGAGGUAUCAGAAGUGCGAAUGCUGACAUAAGUAACGAUAAAGCGGGUGAAAAGCCCGCUCGCCGGAAGACCAAGGGUUCCUGUCCAACGUUAAUCGGGGCAGGGUGAGUCGACCCCUAAGGCGAGGCCGAAAGGCGUAGUCGAUGGGAAACAGGUUAAUAUUCCUGUACUUGGUGUUACUGCGAAGGGGGGACGGAGAAGGCUAUGUUGGCCGGGCGACGGUUGUCCCGGUUUAAGCGUGUAGGCUGGUUUUCCAGGCAAAUCCGGAAAAUCAAGGCUGAGGCGUGAUGACGAGGCACUACGGUGCUGAAGCAACAAAUGCCCUGCUUCCAGGAAAAGCCUCUAAGCAUCAGGUAACAUCAAAUCGUACCCCAAACCGACACAGGUGGUCAGGUAGAGAAUACCAAGGCGCUUGAGAGAACUCGGGUGAAGGAACUAGGCAAAAUGGUGCCGUAACUUCGGGAGAAGGCACGCUGAUAUGUAGGUGAAGUCCCUUGCGGAUGGAGCUGAAAUCAGUCGAAGAUACCAGCUGGCUGCAACUGUUUAUUAAAAACACAGCACUGUGCAAACACGAAAGUGGACGUAUACGGUGUGACGCCUGCCCGGUGCCGGAAGGUUAAUUGAUGGGGUUAGCGGUAACGCGAAGCUCUUGAUCGAAGCCCCGGUAAACGGCGGCCGUAACUAUAACGGUCCUAAGGUAGCGAAAUUCCUUGUCGGGUAAGUUCCGACCUGCACGAAUGGCGUAAUGAUGGCCAGGCUGUCUCCACCCGAGACUCAGUGAAAUUGAACUCGCUGUGAAGAUGCAGUGUACCCGCGGCAAGACGGAAAGACCCCGUGAACCUUUACUAUAGCUUGACACUGAACAUUGAGCCUUGAUGUGUAGGAUAGGUGGGAGGCUUUGAAGUGUGGACGCCAGUCUGCAUGGAGCCGACCUUGAAAUACCACCCUUUAAUGUUUGAUGUUCUAACGUUGGCCCCUGAUCGGGGUUGCGGACAGUGUCUGGUGGGUAGUUUGACUGGGGCGGUCUCCUCCUAAAGAGUAACGGAGGAGCACGAAGGUUGGCUAAUCCUGGUCGGACAUCAGGAGGUUAGUGCAAUGGCAUAAGCCAGCUUGACUGCGAGCGUGACGGCGCGAGCAGGUGCGAAAGCAGGUCAUAGUGAUCCGGUGGUUCUGAAUGGAAGGGCCAUCGCUCAACGGAUAAAAGGUACUCCGGGGAUAACAGGCUGAUACCGCCCAAGAGUUCAUAUCGACGGCGGUGUUUGGCACCUCGAUGUCGGCUCAUCACAUCCUGGGGCUGAAGUAGGUCCCAAGGGUAUGGCUGUUCGCCAUUUAAAGUGGUACGCGAGCUGGGUUUAGAACGUCGUGAGACAGUUCGGUCCCUAUCUGCCGUGGGCGCUGGAGAACUGAGGGGGGCUGCUCCUAGUACGAGAGGACCGGAGUGGACGCAUCACUGGUGUUCGGGUUGUCAUGCCAAUGGCACUGCCCGGUAGCUAAAUGCGGAAGAGAUAAGUGCUGAAAGCAUCUAAGCACGAAACUUGCCCCGAGAUGAGUUCUCCCUGACUCCCUGAGAGUCCUGAAGGAACGUUGAAGACGACGACGUUGAUAGGCCGGGUGUGUAAGCGCAGCGAUGCGUUGAGCUAACCGGUACUAAUGAACCGUGAGGCUUAACCUU
rnacentral:rRNA from 1 species